CCAGCAGCCAAAAGAAAGCGUACAAGUUCCAAGCUCACUUGACCGUUGAUACAAUGCUGCCAGAUAAAAACAAAUGCCAAGAACAGUUCACUUUAGCGUAGUCUAUAAACUGAUCUACACGUGGCAUAACAUUU